UCCAGGGACCCCAGACAGUGUUUGGUCCCUGACUCUGUGUCCCCACACAGCCACCCCACCCCAUGCUGAGGCACACAGCACUUUAGACAGGAGAAUCCUGAUGGCAGUGGCUGGGUCUCGUGGGACCCAGUCUCCUCCAGGGCUUAGUCUGAGGCUGGAGCUUCUGUAGAUGUUUGAUCAAAGCAAGGAAGCAAGGGAGGGAGGCCGGAAGCCACCCCAGGGAUCCUGAUGGCCACCCUGUGGCAGCCUGUCAGUGGACAGAUGAUACAGGAAGCUAACGGAACUCCCAAGCAGAAAUCGGCAGAGAUGGAUCGCUGGUUACUUUUCAGCACACAAAAGCCAAGGGCCGCUUCCUGAGAUGCGUGCCUCAGCCAGGUAGUGAAACUGAACUCCCCUCAGAUGGGAAAGGCUUGGUGGGCUCUGCUUGUUGGGAAGUACACAGUGGUGCCUCACCCCUGAGGCGAGAAUCAUCACCUCUGCUUUACAAAUGAGAUGACCAAGGGUCAGGGAGGAGGAAGGACACCCCCCCAGCCCCGAGUCGCCUGCCUGGAAGAGAGGGAGCCAGGAUGCGAAUCUUCCCCUGCCAAACCCACUGACUCCAUUAUACUGCCUCCAGAGAACUCGAGCCCCAUGGCUAGAAAGUGGCAGAGCUGGGCCUUGAACCUGGGUCCUGGCCUCUUGGUCCUGUGCUCCUUGUGGAAGGUGGAACUGCUUCUUCAGAGACAAAGUCUCAUUACGUUCCCAGACUGGUCUCAAACUCCUGGGCUCAAGCAAUCCUCUGGCCUCAACUUCCUAAAAUGAUGGGACUACAGGCAUGAGUCACCUCGCCCAGCCUGGGUAGAACUUUCUAAAGUGGGACUCCUUCACACGCCGACUCCCUGGAGCUGGCAAGAGAAAGCCCUUGAGCCUUGCCCUGGCUUGCUGAACCCUCCCUCCCAGCUCUGUCUGCCUUCUUUCUCCAGCUAGCUCCUCAGCUCAAUGCGAGUUCCUCCAGGCAGCUCUCUCGGACUUCGCAGUGACCCUCCCCUGCUGCUCUCAGUAGCAUGCUUCCAGCAUCUCAUCCCAACAGAAUGAACAGCAGCCAAGUGCAACUGUGUGGCCCUGCCUGAGUCAUUUCACUUCCUUUUCAUGCUCUGGCUGUCACACCUUUCCACGGAUAUGAAUGGAGAUGAUCGUGUCGACCCCAAAGGAUCCUUACAUGUCUUAAAAAAGUGAGACACGGAAAGGCCUCAGCCCAGUGCCUAGCAGAGAUGCACAUGGGAGAGAGGAAAUGACUAGAGAAGACCCGGGAGACCCGUGGUGUGCCGGGCACUGGACCUGGGGCUCGGUGGCACCUGCCAGCUCUUUCCAACUGUGAAACACCUGGAUUGCCGCGAGGGUCAGUAACGCGCCCUAAGUCACGCAUCUGGUAAACAGCAAGGCCUGGAUUUGAACCCAGGUUUUGCCAUUACAUCGGAUUAGCUGGCAGUCACCACCUCCUUCCAACCCUCCCUGCCUCACCUGCUCCAUCCUUAUGACUUCAGGUGUCACCUCCCAGCUGGGUUUAAGGGGUUGAGUUGUCCACUCUGAUCUUUUCCAAGCACAAACUGCAAGGUAGACCAGAAUGCAGCCGGCCCUGACUCCAGGGCUACCUACAGAUGCCCCUGUAGCUCCUCAUGCUCCUGCGCUCCUGUGUGAUGUCCUGGGCUGCACAGGAUGACAGGCUGGGGAAGCUCCAAGCUGAAGAGACCAUGUGCUCCCUGACAAUUUGCUGAUCUAAUCACAUACAACUUAAGACAAAGUUAACCCGUCUGAUUGAAUGAUAUGGUAUAAUGGCAAUGACUGAGCUCCCCAGUAAUUAGGCUUAACCAGGAAGCAGCUCAUGGAGUCGGCUGUAAUUAGUAUUUGUGUUACACAGGUGGGUGGGUGGGUGAGGGCUGGGCAGAGGGAGGAGGAAGUGGGUGGGGCACGAAGCUCAGGGACUUUUUGGAUCUAUGAGCCCCAUGCCAACCAACUCAUGUGGGUGAUCCUAACAUUCAUGAUGACCUCAUGAUGUACUGUUAUCUCUCUUCUAAGGUGAGAAAACAGGCUCAGAGAAGUCCAUUCACUUGUCCAAGGUCAUGCAGCUAGAAAAUGACAGAGCCAGGGUUCCCUCUCGAGCCCAGGCGAUGUCUUAGACAGCAGAAGGAACAGGAAUAGAGCUGGGAGGAGGCUGGAGAUCCACAUUUGGGUCCCAGUUCUGACACUGCCUUACCCUGGGCCUCAGCAAGUAGAUCCCUAUUCAGGACACAAAGAGAUGGUAUGUCUGCCAGGUUGUGGGCAGCUGAGGGUGUGGACUUGGGAGCUAGGCUCAUUGGAUUCUAAUCCUUGGGCAAGCUACUUCACCAUCUGAGCCUCAAUGUCCUCAUCUGUAAAGUGGAGAUGACAACAGUGUCUCCCUCAUAGGCUUGUGAAGAUAAAACGAGUAAUAAGACUUAGAACAAUGCCUGAAUAUUACUGUCCUUUAAGGGGAAAAAAUGGGCUUUGUUGUCCAUUUUUCAUCUGUAAAAUGGGAAGGUAGUUGCUGGAUC